CACAAGGAAUGAUAAGGUUUUAUGGCGCCAAAACAUAAAAUGCACUUUACUAACAAAAGAAAAAAAAUCUGGCAACAUCUCAUCAUCGCAAACAAAUAAAUGCAUUGUUUUCAAUUUGCAGCGUAGUGACUCAAUUGAUAAAUGAUUCAACUUCAAAGUUGAUGCAAAUUUAUGAGUGAUCUAAAACUUUUGAAUUGAAGUAUAAUAUCCUAUUAGCACACAACCACAGACAAAUGCAUAUUCUCAAAUUCUUGCCAUUAUAUUUUAUCUGGACACUCAGAAAUUGAGAAUUGUCUGCAACUUAUGAUAUGCAUGCAACUAGCAAGUCUCCCCUUUAUGAGUAUUUAACACAAAAAAACUCAGCCCUGGUACAUGAAAAUGUCCUAUAAGGCAGUAUUUGAAAAAAACCAUAUUAACAAUUCCAGACAGAAAAUGCAACAGGCAUACACAGAUCAGAUUUGCUCUGAAUAUCAUUACAAUUAACUAGCCAAAGGAUGUGCAUAGUUGUGUGCCUAUGACUCAGAUGUUCGAGAAUGCCAGAGUCUAAAUCGAGAAUGCAACUAACUAGGGUUUAAACUAAUUAUGAUCAAUGCUGUAUGAAGGAGAUACUGAGCAAUGAAACAUCCCAUUUGGCUUCAACAAAUUGUUCUGUAUCGCUGAACAAAAACUCCUUUCAGCCAUUGCGAACUAAGAGAGUAUGAUACCCACCAGCAUCAACUAAAACAUCAUAGGAACUGAUAAUCUGAAUGAAAAUUCAACUAAAUUAUCAUGUAUACUCGGAACAAAAAAUCAUAAGAGAGUACCAUAUCAAGGUUAACGCCUCAAACAAAAUUACCAAUGAUCAAGAGUAAGUUGUAUUGGACUGGAAUUUUUACUGAUGAUAAACAACCCCUAUGUGCUUAACCAAUUCUCCCAUCAUGUAGGAGUACCUCGCUGCUAGAAACUCAAAGGUCGGCCAUGCCCUAGCACAAAUCGAUCGAUAAUUCCUACGGCUAAAACUUCCUCUUCUACCCAAACUUAUAUCAAACAACGCCCAAAUAGGGAAUUGAAAUUCCAACCUACAAACCCUAAGACCACAUCACAACGCAAUUCCGAUCGCGAUUUCGAUCGCAAGAGCAGACGCCCCAUAAUCCCUACAAAGGAAGCGAACACAUUCACAUCUAGAUAGAAUCGACGCGAUUCCGAUCACGCAAUCAACCCCGCCACGGGAUCGCUCCAUCCCAGGUGAAGGGGCAGGAGGAAAACGCACCUG
rnacentral:lncRNA from 1 species